rnacentral:rRNA from 1 species
AUUGAACGCUGGCGGCAGGCCUAACACAUGCAAGUCGAGCGGGGUUUUCGGACCUAGCGGCGGACGGGUGAGUAAUGCGUAGGAAGCUGCCCGAUAGAGGGGGAUACCAGUUGGAAACGACUGUUAAUACCGCAUAAUGUCUACGGACCAAAGUGUGGGACCUUCGGGCCACAUGCUAUCGGAUACGCCUACGUGGGAUUAGCUAGUUGGUGAGGUAAUGGCUCACCAAGGCGACGAUCUCUAGCUGGUUUGAGAGGAUGAUCAGCCACACUGGAACUGAGACACGGUCCAGACUCCUACGGGAGGCAGCAGUGGGGAAUAUUGGACAAUGGGCGCAAGCCUGAUCCAGCCAUGCCGCGUGUGUGUAGAAGGCCUUCGGGUUGUAAAGCACUUUCAGCGAGGAGGAAGGGUGGUGUGUUAAUAGCACAUCAUUUUGACGUUACUCGCAGAAGAAGCACCGGCUGACUCUGUGCCAGCAGCCGCAGUAAGAC